rnacentral:tRNA from 1 species
GCGGAUAUGGCGGAAUUGGCAGACGCGUAAGAUUCAGGUUCUUAUGGCCGCAAGGCCGUGCAAGUUCAAGUCUUGUUAUCCGCACCA